rnacentral:rRNA from 1 species
GGCAGACGGGUGAGUAACGCGUGGGAACCUACCUUUAGGUACGGAACAACAGUUGGAAACGACUGCUAAUACCGUAUGUGCCCUAUGGGGGAAAGAUUUAUCGCCUAAGGAUGGGCCCGCGUUGGAUUAGCUAGUUGGUGGGGUAAAGGCCUACCAAGGCGACGAUCCAUAGCUGGUCUGAGAGGAUGAUCAGCCACACUGGGACUGAGACACGGCCCAGACUCCUACGGGAGGCAGCAGUGGGGAAUAUUGGACAAUGGGCGCAAGCCUGAUCCAGCCAUGCCGCGUGAGUGAUGAAGGCCCUAGGGUUGUAAAGCUCUUUCAGCGAGGAGGAUAAUGACGUUACUCGCAGAAGAAGCCCCGGCUAACUUCGUGCCAGCAGCCGCGGUAAUACGAAGGGGGCUAGCGUUGUUCGGAAUCACUGGGCGUAAAGCGCACGUAGGCGGACUUUUAAGUCAGGGGUGAAAUCCCGGGGCUCAACCCCGGAACUGCCUUUGAUACUGGAAGUCUUGAGUCCGAGAGAGGUGAGUGGAACUCCGAGUGUAGAGGUGAAAUUCGUAGAUAUUCGGAAGAACACCAGUGGCGAAGGCGGCUCACUGGC